rnacentral:rRNA from 1 species
AUAUCCAAUAGCGGAGGAAAAGAAAAUAACAAUGAUUCCCUCAGUAACGGCGAGCGAAGAGGGAUAAGCUCAAAUUUUAAAUCUGUUGGGUUCCACUUAACAGAGUUGUAUUUUGAAGAAACGUUUUCUGCGUCCAGGAUUAGCCUAAAUCCUUUGGGAUAAGGUAUCAUGGAGGGUGAGAAUCCCGUUCAUGGUUAAUCUUAAGGAAGCUCUACGAUACGUUUUCCAAGAGUCGAGUUGUUUGGGAUUGCAGCUCAAAAUGGGAGGUAAAUUUCUCCUAAGGCUAAAUAUUGGCGAGAGACCGAUAGCGAACAAGUACCGUGAGGGAAAGAUGAAAAGAACUUUGAAAAGAGAGUUAAACAGUACGUGAAAUUGUUGAAAGGGAAACGAUUGAAGUCAGUCAUACCAACGGGAAAUCAACCUCUUGAGCUCGGUCUCGUGGGUUUUGAAGAGUUUCAAAGCCUUCGGAUUCGCGGGAUUGGGAUCUCCUGGYGUACUUUUUCGUACGGUUAGUCAACAUCGGUUUUGAAUGUCAUAAAAUGACUGGAGGAAUGUAGCUUCGAUCUCGUAUUGAAGUGUUAUAGCCUUUGGUAGAUGUGAUGUUUGAGACCGAGGAUUGCAACGGAUACCCUUCAGGGCUAUUCGUCUGAUCUCUGAUACGUUGCCUUGAUGUUGAAAGCUCGCUUAUGAUGUUAGGGUAUUACGGUCAAAAGGUUAGAGCGAAUUACAUUCGUUAAGGAUGUUGACGUAAUGACUUUAAACGACCCGUC